rnacentral:tRNA from 1 species
AGAAACUUAGGUUAACUAMAACCAGGAGCCUUCAAAGCCCCAAACAGAGGCUAAAACCCCUAGUUUCUG